GAAUAACCAAAAAUAAGAAAAGACUGUGAACCUACAGUUUUGAGGAUGCAAAUCCAAUGAUAGCCCUCGAUAAAAUCAACUAUCUAAAGCCUAUUCUGAGCCUGAAAUGGGUGGAAAGGAGGGUGGUGAGAUUAUAUAAUCCUAGUGAGUAAACAAACACCAUUCAAAAUAUCUAAAGUCGAGUAAAUGGAGACGAUUAAAAUAUUCCAUCUCAAUAUGUAUUUCAUAACAUAAAUAUUCAUUUCAUUUAAAUAAUCAACAUGGCUUAUGAGUAUCUUAAAAGCUUGGCUCUUGUCAAAAUCAUUCUCGGGAAUACCUUGGCCGAGGCAUUUAACCGAGUCUGCCAAGGCGGUUAAAUAAUUUUGUAUACACAUAAACAUAUUUUUAGUUUGAAAAACACAGCUGUUCUUUGGCGUUAGCGUAGUUCAUCAUCACGAGGUGGUUCGACGUGACGUGAACUCUAACCAUCCCUCAGGAGAUACCCUACGCGCCUCUUUGACCGAGGUACAUAUAUAACUGGAUUUCGUGCUCCUUAAAAAGGCUGGUCCACAGAACCCGCCUACUGCAGCAAGCUAAACCCACUAUACAAUAAAAUUUUGACAGCAUGACAUGACUAAUAUUAUACUACCCAGCUUGUAAAUGUAAAACAGAACAAUUCAACCAGUUCACAAACCACAAUUCUAGCCAGUCAUGCCAAUACAUUAUCAUAAGCCAUCAAUUAGAAUCAUAAAUUACAACACAUCAAGUGAUCUCUAGUUACUCUAUUUUCAAAGUCAUCAUUCAAUUUUAAUACAAUUUAUAAAAUCUUUUCAUUUAAACACAUUUUGUUUAUAAAACCUAAAAAUUAACCAUUUAAACUCAUUUUCCAUAACAUUCACCAAAUCGAAUAAAAAGUCCACCUUAGAUAAUUAAAAUGAUGAUAAGGUUACUCACUAUUUCGGGAGUCGAAUUUCUAGAGUACUCUGACUACCGAUCCUCGAGUAUAAUUUCUUUGCCCUUAGCGGAGGAUUCACCACCUAUACAUCAUACGUGACACGAAUUUCAAUAAUUUGUGUCAAUUUAUCAUAAAUUAUUUCAAGCUCUAUAAAUCUAUAUGAAUGCACGAAAUGUGAUGCAAAAUAUCCGAAUAGCCGUUUAAAUACAAUAUUCGACCUACUUUGCACUAUUCUCGGUGUAAUUGGCUAAAACCUCCAAUUUAACUCCAAAUCGAUUUCUUUCACUUUCUACACUCCAAUUAUACUAAAAAUACCUCAAUGACUAUGAAUAUGAUUCAAUUUAUCAGUCCGAACCAUAAAUUGCACAUGUCUAUACAAUAGGUAAAAAUUGAUAUUUUCAUGCCAAAAUUUCCCAUUAAAUUUCUAGCCUCACCAAUCAUUAAAUACCACCAAAAUAUCAUG
rnacentral:lncRNA from 1 species